AUUGAACGCUGGCGGAAUGCUUUACACAUGCAAGUCGAACGGCAGCACGGACUUCGGUCUGGUGGCGAGUGGCGAACGGGUGAGUAAUGUAUCGGGACGUGCCCAGUCGUGGGGGAUAACGUAGUGAAAAUUACGCUAAUACCGCAUACGAUCUAUGGAUGAAAGCGGGGGAUCGCAAGACCUUGCGCGAUUGGAGCGGCCGAUAUCAGAUUAGGUAGUUGGUGGGGUAAAGGCCCACCAAGCCAACGAUCUGUAGCUGGUCUGAGAGGACGACCAGCCACACUGGAACUGAGACACGGUCCAGACUCCUACGGGAGGCAGCAGUGGGGAAUUUUGGACAAUGGGCGAAAGCCUGAUCCAGCCAUUCCGCGUGCAGGAUGAAGGCCCUCGGGUUGUAAACUGCUUUUGUACAGAACGAAAAGGUUUCUACUAAUACUAGGAGCUCAUGACGGUACUGUAAGAAUAAGCACCGGCUAAUUACGUGCCAGCCGCCGCCGUAA
rnacentral:rRNA from 1 species